AGGUGGGGAUUGGGGGGUCACAUUGUGGGCUGGGGGUCAGGGUAUGGAGGGCUGAGGUGGGCACUGAGGGGCAGCGAGGUGCCACGGGGGUGCAGGUGCUGAGGCACAGGGGAGAAUGCAGGGCCUGGGAGGCGGGCAGGGGCCAGGCCGCGGGGGUGGCACGAAGCAGCUUCUCCCUGAGCCUCGUGUGUCGCAGGAUCUGCGCUGGGGGUCGCCUCCGGAGGAGCCACAGCCCUGCAGGCCUGAGUUGUGAGCAAAGGUCGCCGAGUCUGCGUGGGACGUCCGUGUCCCUCAGGUGUUCCUGCUUGCCACGGAGGCUGCUGAGUCUGCGCCCUGCCCCAGGCCGAGGUGGCUGAACUGAAGGUCUCUGCGUGACAGUGGGAGUGCUGCCCUUGUGGUUCCCUGUGGUUAUAUCUGCGUGGUCUCUAGGUUAUAGAAGGUAAUUUUGUCUAAGUAGAUGGUAAACAUUAAUAAAAUCCAGUUCUUCAAGCUGACUGUUUAAUGC
rnacentral:lncRNA from 1 species